rnacentral:rRNA from 1 species
GACGAACCGUGCGAACGUUAUUCGGAAUCACUGGGCUUAAAGCGCGUGUAGGCGGGCGGGUACGUCGGCGACUGAAAGCCCCCGGCUCAACCGGGGAAGGGGUGCCGAAACGGCCGGCCUGGAGGGGCGUAGGGGGACCUGGAACUUCCGGUGGAGCGGUGAAAUGCGUUGAGAUCGGAAGGAACGCCCGUGGCGAAAGCGAGGUCCUGGACGCCAUCUGACGCUGAGACGCGAAAGCCAGGGGAGCGAACGGGAUUAGAUACCCCGGUAGUCCUGGCCGUAAACGAUGGGCACUGGGUAGGGGGCUCGCCGAUGGGCUCCCUGCCGCAGGGAAACCGUGAAGUGCCCCGCCUGGGGAGUAUGGUCGCAAGGCUGAA